rnacentral:rRNA from 1 species
AAGUCGUAACAAGGUCUCCGUUGGUGAACCAGCGGAGGGAUCAUUACCGAGUUUUCAACUCCCAAACCCCAUGUGAACUUAUACCAUUUACAACCGUUGCUUCGGCGGGUUCUCGCCCCGGGCUUUACACCCCGGAACCAGGCGGCCCGCCGGGGGACCCAAACUCUAGAUUUUUAUUUUAGCAUGUCUGAGUGGAAUCAUUACAAAAUGAAUCAAAACUUUCAACAACGGAUCUCUUGGUUCUGGCAUCGAUGAAGAACGCAGCGAAAUGCGAUAAGUAAUGUGAAUUGCAGAAUUCAGUGAAUCAUCGAAUCUUUGAACGCACAUUGCGCCCGCCAGUAUUCUGGCGGGCAUGCCUGUUCGAGCGUCAUUUCAACCCUCAAGCCCCAGCGGUUUGGUGUUGGGGACCGGCGAGUACAGAGGCUUUGGGGACUUGUCCCCCUUCCCUCGGCGCCGCCCCCGAAAUGAAUUGGCGGUCUCGUCGCGGCCUCCUCUGCGUAGUAGCACAACCUCGCAUCAGGAGCGCGGCGCGGCCAUCUGCAGUAAAACGCCCAACUUUUUUUUAAGAGUUGACCUCGGGUGAAUCAGGGAGGAAUACCCGCUGAACUUAA